UCUUGGUCAUUUAGAGGAAGUAAAAGUCGUAACAAGGUUUCCGUAGGUGAACCUGCGGAAGGAUCAUUAAUGUAACCGGACUGGUACGUUCGCCGUAAAACGCAACGGAUCGGAAAGGGAGAUAUCAUACACCCUAUAUUUAUUUUACCUUUGUUGCUUUGGCGGGCCGUCCUUUUAGGCGUCGGCCCCGGCUGAUCGCGCCCGCCAGAGGACCCAAACUCUUUUAUUAGUGAUGUCUAAGUACUAUAUAAUAGUUAAAACUUUCAACAACGGAUCUCUUGGUUCUGGCAUCGAUGAAGAACGCAGCGAAAUGCGAUAAGUAAUGUGAAUUGCAGAAUUCAGUGAAUCAUCGAAUCUUUGAACGCACAUUGCGCCCCUUGGUAUUCCGGGGGGCAUGCCUGUUCGAGCGUCAUUUCAACCCUCACGCGUAGCGUGGUCUUGGGCACUGCCGGCAACGGCUUGCCUUAAAAUCAGUGGCGGUGCCAUCGAGCUCUACGCGUAGUAAUAAACCCCUCGCGUGUGAGUCUCGGCGGUCGCUUGCCAGCAACCCCCAAUUUUUUAUGGUUGACCUCGAAUCAGGUAGGGAUACCCGCUGAACUUAAGCAUAUCAAUAAGCGGAGGA
rnacentral:rRNA from 1 species